UCAGGAUUUAUCUCACAAUAACUUGACUGGAUCAGUGCCAGAGUUCUUAACUGAACUGCCAUCUCUAACAUUCCUUAAUUUAGCAGGGAACAACUUGAAAGGUCCAGUUCCUCAGGGGCUUAUGGAGAAGUAUCAGCAUGGCACAUUGUACUUGAGUCUUGGAGAAAAUCCAAAUCUUUGUGUGUCAGUCUCAUGCAAGGAAAGCAGAACAAGAACUUCAUUGUUCCAGCUCUCGCAUCUGUUAUAUCAGUUCUGGUCCUGUUCCUUCUAAUUGCUGUUGGUAUCAUUUGGAACUUCAGAAGGAAAGAAGACAGAGCUAUGGAGAUGGUCACCAGAGAAGGAUCAUUGAAGUCAGGGAACUCAGAGUUCACUUACUCUGAGCUUGUGACUAUUACCCACAACUUCAGUUCCACCAUUGGACAAGGAGGAUUUGGAAAUGUUCAUCUAGGCACUC